rnacentral:rRNA from 1 species
CCUACGUGUGUCAGCAGUAGGGAAUAUUGCUCACUGGGGGAAACCCUGAAGCAGCAACGCCGCGUGGAGGAUGAAGGUUUUAGGAUUGUAAACUUCUUUUGUUAGAGAAGAUUAUGACGGUAUCUAACGAAUAAGAACCGGCUGACUCCGUGCCAGCAGCCGCGGUACUACGGAGGGUGCAAGCGUUACUCGGAAUCACUGGGCGUAAAGCGUGCGUAGGCGGGGUAAUAAGUCAGAUGUGAAAUCCUGUAGCUUAACUACAGAACUGCAUUUGAAACUGUUACUCUGGAGUGUGGGAGAGGUAGGUGGAAUUCUUGGUGUAGGGGUAAAAUCCGUAGAGAGCAAGAGGAAUACGCAUUGCGAAGGCGACCUGCUGGAACAUUACUGACGCGGAUGCACGAAAGCGUGGGGAGCAAACAGGAUUAGAUACCCGGGUAGUC